UUUCCAACAUUUGUUCAAUCUCGGAUUUGGUGCGUAUCAAGAAAUGCUUCCAGGUUGGAAAUAUCAUCCAUCGUUAUAUCGGACGUCAAACCCAAGUGAUGGAAGAUGAUCAAGAAAUCGCAUCAUUUAUGUUCCGCAGAACUGUCCCUUCCGCACACUUGACUCCUGAUGAUAUUCGCUGGAUGGUAGGAGCAUGGAGAGAUAGGAUAAUAGUCUUCUCAGGAACAUUUGGACCAACACA